CCUCAGUUUCUAAAUCAGAAAGUUUGGUACUGUCACAGAUAUGGGAAAUUAGGACGAAAAAGUUAAAACAAGAUCUUCCUGGCCAUUCCGAUGAGGUUUACGCUGUGGAUUGGAGUCCAGAUGGUGAGAAAGUAGUUUCUGGUGGUAAAGAUAGAGUUUUGAAGCUAUGGCAGGGUUAAGAUUGAAGAGCAUCGUGGAGCUUUUUGUUUUUCUCAGCCAAAUUAUUUAGCUCUUUCAACUUGUUUGGCUUCUGCUUUUUAAUGCUUCUCUAUGGGCUUUUUGAUCUUAUGCUUAGUAAAAAAAAUUAAAAAACUAUUUGUUCUUCCCUCAAGUUGUUACUUUUAUAUGAAGCCUUUUUACAUUGGCUAUUACAUGAAUUCAUACA